rnacentral:rRNA from 1 species
UACGAAGGGUGCAAGCGUUACUCGGAAUUACUGGGCGUAAAGGGCGCGUAGGCGGCCCGCUAAGUCGAACGUGAAAUCCCCGAGCUCAACUCGGGAACUGCGUCCGAUACUGGCGGGCUUGAAUCCGGGAGAGGGAUGCGGAAUCCAGGUGUAGCGGUGAAAUGCGUAGAUAUCUGGAGGAACACCGGUGGCGAAGGCGGCAUCCUGGACCGGCAUUGACGCUGAGGCGCGAAAGCUAGGGGAGCAAACGGG